AAUGCCUUCACGACACAGGAGCUCACUGACAACGCACUAGGACUUGUAGCAGUCACGGUGACUCUGUUCAUGGACUGGAGCAUUUUCUUUGUCCUGUUGACUGUUUGGACAAAUGUUUACAACCAAGAUGGUUGCUAAAUGUCUGAAUUCUGCUGAGGAGACUUUCUUCAUUUCCACAGAAGGAAGUGGUUUGGAUACAUUUUUCUCCCUCUCUUAUUUCCAAAUUAAUUUAAAACAAGCUGCAUAAAAAUUAUGACAUAAUUUUCUGGACUGCAGAAUCAAUGAGUUGCUCUCCUGAGAUGGUGAGUACCAACUAAGUCACCUGUGGUCUCUUUUGAGUAGUGAUGGGAAAAAUACUGA
rnacentral:lncRNA from 1 species